UACGGAGGAUGCAAGCGUUAUCCGGAUUCAAUUGGGUUUAAAGGGUGCGUAGGCGGGCUAUUAAGUCAGUGGUGAAAUCCUGCAGCUUAACUGCAGAACUGCCGUUGAUACUGAUAGUCUUGAGUUUGGUUAAGGUAGGCGGAAUGUGUAAUGUAGCGGUGAAAUGCUUAGAUAUUACACAGAACACCGAUUGCGAAGGCAGCUUGCUGGGCCAAUACUGACGCUGAUGCACGAAAGCGUGGGGAUCAAACA
rnacentral:rRNA from 1 species